GUGGGGUAAUGGCUCACCAAGGCGACGACGGGUAGCCGGCCUGAGAGGGUGACCGGCCACACUGGGACUGAGACACGGCCCAGACUCCUACGGGAGGCAGCAGUGGGGAAUAUUGCACAAUGGGCGGAAGCCUGAUGCAGCGACGCCGCGUGAGGGAUGACGGCCUUCGGGUUGUAAACCUCUUUCAGUAGGGAAGAAGCGAGAGUGACGGUACCUGCAGAAGAAGCGCCGGCUAACUACGUGCCAGCAGCCGCGGUAAUACGUAGGGCGCAAGCGUUGUCCGGAAUUAUUGGGCGUAAAGAGCUCGUAGGCGGUUUGUCGCGUCUGCUGUGAAAGCCCGGGGCUCAACCCCGGGUCUGCAGUGGGUACGGGCAGACUAGAGUGCAGUAGGGGAGACUGGAAUUCCUGGUGUAGCGGUGAAAUGCGCAGAUAUCAGGAGGAACACCGAUGGCGAAGGCAGGUCUCUGGGCUGUUACUGACGCUGAGGAGCGAAAGCAUGGGGAGCGAACAGGAUUAGAUACCCUGGUAGUCCAUGCCGUAAACGUUGGGCACUAGGUGUGGGGGACAUUCCACGUUUUCCGCGCCGUAGCUAACGCAUUAAGUG
rnacentral:rRNA from 1 species